CUCCGCCUGCUGGUAGUCUUGCAAUCUCGCAUGCACUAUCUUCUCCGUCAGGAGCGCCGAGAGCUUCUCUCCAUUAAGCGCACAUGAACAGACGAGUUUGACAGUCAAAUGCAUUUAUAAACAGACCAGUCACAGGAAAUUCCACCUGGCCCUCUGGACGUCACUUCCGGUUCCGAGCUUGUGGACGAAGACCUUGCCGGCUCUGGCCCCUGUGAUGUCAUGUCUGCGCUCGAGCCUGUGGUUGAAGACCCUUAUGAGCCUGACCCCUUUGACCUCACUUCCCGUCUUCCCCUUUAAAAGCCUCCACCUUUUCCCUAUUCUGUCAGUUCUGUUUUGGACUCAGUUUUGUGCACAGCAGUGCUAUCAUUUACUUCAAUCUGCAGCCAGGAAACCAAAUAUAUGAGUGGCUACCCCAAACCUUGCUAUGGCUCUUUGUGGCGUUUGUGACAAUAUAUAUAUAGUGAUGGAUGGCAGGAUGGGUUCCGGUCCCUUUCCUGGGAGACCAUGGCAGUGAGUGGGCACAAAGAAGAGCAAGAUGUUUCCUGACUUUGCCAGAAGAUUGAUAAAGUAUGCCAAUUUGCAGGUGGGCACAGUGCUUUCCCAGCAGGGAUGGACCAAAGACCCUUACCCGGCCAGGAGGCCAUUGGGAUGGAAGAACAUUUGUUCUACAAAUGUUUGUGAUGCACCAUCUGUUGGAAUGACAAAUGCCAUGUCUAUGUCUCUGUUAUAUGACAUUUGGUAUGGGAUUUGUAAAAGCAGUUUUAAUGUUUCUGAUCCACCACCUGUUGGAAUGACAAAUGCAAUAUAUUUUAUUACUACAAA